rnacentral:rRNA from 1 species
GACGGGGGGGGCAAGUGUUCUUCGGAAUGACUGGGCGUAAAGGGCACGUAGGCGGUGAGUCGGGUUGAAAGUGAAAGUCGCCAAAAAGUGGCGGAAUGCUCUCGAAACCAAUUCACUUGAGUGAGACAGAGGAGAGUGGAAUUUCGUGUGUAGGGGUGAAAUCCGAAGAUCUACGAAGGAACGCCAAAAGCGAAGGCAGCUCUCUGGGUCCCUACCGACGCUGGGGUGCGAAAGCAUGGGGAGCGAACAGG